GAUGAACGCUGGCGGCGUGCCUAAUACAUGCAAGUCGAGCGAACAGACGAGGAGCUUGCUCCUCUGACGUUAGCGGCGGACGGGUGAGUAACACGUGGAUAACCUACCUAUAAGACUGGGAUAACUUCGGGAAACCGGAGCUAAUACCGGAUAAUAUAUUGAACCGCAUGGUUCAAUAGUGAAAGACGGUUUUGCUGUCACUUAUAGAUGGAUCCGCGCCGCAUUAGCUAGUUGGUAAGGUAACGGCUUACCAUGGCGACGAUGCGUAGCCGACCUGAGAGGGUGAUCGGCCACACUGGAACUGAGACACGGUCCAGACUCCUACGGGAGGCAGCAGUAGGGAAUCUUCCGCAAUGGGCGAAAGCCUGACGGAGCAACGCCGCGUGAGUGAUGAAGGUCUUCGGAUCGUAAAACUCUGUUAUUAGGGAAGAACAAAUGUGUAAGUAACUAUGCACGUCUUGACGGUACCUAAUCAGAAAGCCACGGCUAACUACGUG
rnacentral:rRNA from 1 species